rnacentral:lncRNA from 1 species
AAUUAUUUCAGCUUCUUUAACAUUCACUGUUUCUUCAGCCGUCAUGAUGGCAGCCUGGGGCCCGGCGGCCCGUCCGCGCGCCGGCUGCGGGGCGUGAGGAGAAGAUGGCGGCAGGCCUCGCUGCGGGGCGGGCCCGGGGCCGCGCUCGGUCGGCCGGGGUCUCGCUGUCGCUCGGCGCUGCGACCGUCGCCCUCCCUCUCGUCCGCCGCCCGGCCCCCAGGACCCUCCCCGCGCCGGGGCGGGGUGCCCGUUCGCCGCCUGAGUGCAAGCGAGAAAGGACGGCCCGGCUGGGCGUCGCCGCGGGGGCGGGGAGCGGCCGGUGGCGGCGGGGCGGGGCCGCGCUUUGUUAGCGGCGGGGCGAGCACCCUCCCGCCCACGGGCCGCAGCGGGUGGCGGCGGUGCCCGGACGAGCGCCGAGGGAACCGCGGACGGGGCGGGGUCGGGCGGCGGAGCUGCGGCGGCUGCAGCUGCCGGGCCGGCAAGUGCGGGCUCGUCGACGUUCCCCGCCCAGCGCGGCGGCUCCAGGCGCGUCCCUGUGAGCGGCCUGCCCCGAGGCCUGCCCUUGGCUCGCGGCGCCUCUGAGGGCGGCGGGAACCGCCUCGGCUUCUCUGAGGAGGUCGUGUGGCGCGCGCGGCCGAGCGCCCAUCUGAGGGACGGCGCCGAGCGGCGGGAACGGGGCUGCGCGCCGCUGUCACUGCUCGUCUCCACAGCCUGGUGCCAGCUCCGUCCAGGGCCGCAUUGGUGGAAAAAUGUGUAUUUUUCACGAAACAUCAGAUGUAUAAAUGCUGUAUAUGAGAUACAGAGAUGCAUUUUCAUAUGUUUUGACAUUCGGUUAAAUUUAAUGCAUCUUUGUAAUUCUCAGAAGACAGCCGCUAAGAGUGAUGUGAACGCUGAACAUGUUUUCUGUGUUCAGACACUGAAGGGAGAUGACAUUCAGCAAACCGUGUUACAGUGCCAGUGCUCCGCAUGGACAAAACUCCGGAAUGCGCAGAGGUGUCCUGCAGUCGGGCCCGUGAGAAGCAAUUUGGGCACGGUGCCACCUGGCUGAGCAGCAGUGACUCCGCAGCAGACGAGCCAGGACUGGAAGCUGCCGGCUCCUUCUGCAGCACCCAGGUCCCAACUGCACAUCCUGGGAAGCUGGCUGGGUUCUCUAGCUAAAACACUGACCCCUUCCUCCUGCUGCAAAGGCUAUCGCUUCUUGCUUGAUUACAUCCAGAGGCAAAAGAUUAAUAGAAGAUGUCAUUAUAGAAAUGGAACUGUUUUCUAAUAGAAGUGAGGAGAAUAGCAACAGUAGAAAGUGAAGAAAGGGAUGUCAUGUCCCAUUUCUGCACAACUCCUUGCUCUGCAGUCCAGCACAACACACAUAGAAAGAACUAACUGGACUACGGGGUUGUAUCAGUUGACUUGAAAUUGUGAAACUCACCUCUGAAGAGAACAGGAUAACCAUAUAGACUGGAAGAAGGCUUGACUUCCUUCAAAAGACUUCCCUUCAGCUGAGGUUCAUCUGGAUGUUCACCAUCAUCUCCAAAGCAAACAAAUGAUCUCGUCUGAAUGGGAACCUGACUUGGGGAAAAUCUUCUCAAGCGAGGAAGACUAUCCACAGACCUUGGGGCAGUCAAGCCAUCUACGUAAGACAUUGAUGUGGACCUUCUGAUGACUCCUAAGCAAAAUUAACAUGGAAUCCAAGUGUGCUGAAAGACAGAUGCUGAAGGAAUCUGUUUUUAAGUAUAUAUGCCAUCCUGAAAUAGUAUACAACAUCCUUUGGAAAGUCUACAUUACAGUCAUACUAAAAACAGUAAGAAGGAAUGAGAUGUUACCCACUUUAAAACACAACCCAAAUACUAACUUUACUCAAAUCAUAUACAAGUGUAUAUACCUGGCUGCAACAUUUAUGUACACUGAAAGUUGAAUUUUUGAAAAUUCACGAGCCAAAGAAGAAUGAUGACUGUAUGCAUCUUAAUGUCUUUCAUCUUCAAAGCCUACUGGGCUGCAAUCUUCCUAUAAAGUGGUUGUGAAUAAGAAUUCCAUAUUCCAGUACCUUUAUAUCCUUGUUCAUAUUCCUGGAUUUCUUAGGAUGAGUGUAUACACAAGUGUUCCCACGACAUCAAAAGGUAUCACGGACAGAACACAGGCAGAAAAUGAUGGGUGUUAGCUGCCAAGGCAUUUUACAGCUGCAAGAUACUCUCAAUUGCCAAGCAGAAGAUAUGACUUGAACCAGGCCACAGUGCAAAGAUAAAGUUGCUCAUCAUCACCAAAAUUGCUAUGAUAGGACAGCAUGACACUAAUAUGUUCU